GGAGGCCUUCCUUUAGGGAUUAGGGAGUGAGGCCGAGGAAGAAGAAGAGGAAGAGGAGGAAGAAUAGGAAGAAGAGGAGCGGAGAGAUGAAUAAUUGUAUUUGCCAUUAUUGGUUUUCUCUUUUUUCUUCUUUUUCUUGUGUUGGUUCGGUUGUGAGCCAUUGUUUUGUACUUUUCUCUUUUUUUCUGAUGAAUAAAAUGGCCUACUCAUCUUUUUAUUUACUUGAUGGCUUGAAUUGAACUGAUGUGCUUUUCGUCUGAAAGGUUGUUCGGUCAAGAAUAAGGAUGCUCGGUAAUCUUGC
rnacentral:lncRNA from 1 species